ACUCCUACGGGAGGCAGCAGUAGGGAAUUUUUCGCAAUGGGCGCAAGCCUGACGAAGCAAUGCCGCGUGAGGGAUGAAGGUUUUCGGAUUGUAAACCUCUGUUAUAAGGGAAGAAAACCUAGUAUAGGAAAUGAUACUAGCUUGACGGUACCUUAUCAGAAAGGGACGGCUAACUACGUGCCAGCAGCCGCGGUAAUACGUAGGUCCCGAGCGUUAUCCGGAAUUAUUGGGCGUAAAGAGCAUGUAGGCGGUCUAUUAAGUCUGGUGUGAAAUCUAGUGGCUCAACCACUAAAUUGCAUUGGAAACUGAUGGACUAGAAUACUGGAGGGGCAAGUGGAAUUCCAUGUGUAGCGGUGGAAUGCGUAGAUAUAUGGAGGAACACCAAUGGCGAAGGCAGGCUUGCUGGACAGUAAUUGACGGCCUGAGAUGCGAAAGCGUGGGUAGCAAACAGGAUUAGAUACCCGGUAGGAUAGCG
rnacentral:rRNA from 1 species